rnacentral:rRNA from 1 species
CAGCCGCCACGGGAAUACGGAGGGCGCGAGCGUUACCCGGAUUUACUGGGCGUAAAGGGCGUGUAGGCGGCCUGGGGCGUCCCAUGUGAAAGGCCACGGCUCAACCGUGGAGGAGCGUGGGAUACGCUCAGGCUAGAGGGUGGGAGAGGGUGGUGGAAUUCCCGGAGUAGCGGUGAAAUGCGCAGAUACCGGGAGGAACGCCGAUGGCGAAGGCAGCCACCUGGUCCACUUCUGACGCUGAGGCGCGAAAGCGUGGGGAGCAAACCGGAUUAGAUACCCGCGUAGUCCCUGUCUCUUAUAC